rnacentral:rRNA from 1 species
UGGGGAAUUUUGGACAAUGGGCGAAAGCCUGAUCCAGCAAUGCCGCGUGCAGGACGAAGGCCUUCGGGUUGUAAACUGCUUUUGUACGGAACGAAAAGAUACUGGCUAAUACCUGGUAUUGAUGACGGUACCGUAAGAAUAAGCACCGGCUAACUACGUGCCAGCAGCCGCGGUAAUACGUAGGGUGCGAGCGUUAAUCGGAAUUACUGGGCGUAAAGCGUGCGCAGGCGGUUUUGUAAGACAGAGGUGAAAUCCCCGGGCUCAACCUGGGAACUGCCUUUGUGACUGCAAGGCUAGAGUGCGGCAGAGGGGGAUGGAAUUCCGCGUGUAGCAGUGAAAUGCGUAGAUAUGCGGAGGAACACCGAUGGCGAAGGCAAUCCCCUGGGCCUGCACUGACGCUCAUGCACGAAAGCGUGGGGAGCAAACAG